ACCAGCAACUGCGGAAUGUUUUGUGUCUCCAGUUUCAAAUUUCGCGGAAAGGGACCAAAUAGUAUUGUCAGAAAAUCAUUUCGAACUGAAAUUUUCAUUCAAAAAUAUUUAUUGAAUGCCGGCUAUGUGCUGAAGAUUCUUAAGAUACAUCAGUGAACAAAUCAAAGUUCCCUGCUUUCUUGGAGCUUGCAUUCCAGCGGGAGGAGAGGAUUUGGAGGAAGAAUGGGAUAGACAAUAAAUCACAAGACCUCCUGCCACAGAGCAUGGGACCUGAUAUAUCCAGGCAGGAGAACUGGGUACCAGGAGACACUGUACAUGAAGUUUCCAGAACCAGCCAUGUCCAUCUUACUAAUCAAGACUCUCUCUGUUAAAUCUGCAACUCAAAUGACUUUAAGGAAAAAUGGAUUUCAUUGAUUCACAUAACCAUCACUCAAGGACUAACUUUCAACAUAGUGAGAUCCUGAGGCUCAAAUAUUAUUACCCGGGUUCCAUGAACUGCUUCCUCUGACAUGAGAUCUAACAAGGCUAAAGACUAAAAUGCAGCUGUUUACAGCGUAAGUAGGAGGCCGUCCCGUGCAGUGCAAAAUCAACAGAGAGGAGACAGUCCUAUGCCUUCGAGAGACAGUCUGCUGAUACUGUCAUGAUGUCUAGUGACAGGCCAGAGAUCAAAACCCAACACCCUCAUUUACCUGACAGUGAUUUGGCCAAUCCCUUAACAUCUCUAAGAGCUUCAUUUUUCUACAAAAUUGAGACAAUAGUAUUUGUUUCAUAGUGUUACUGUCAGGGUUAAAUGUUAUACAUUAAGCAUUUAAUAUAUGCUGCUUGUUUAUCUAAAUAUUCAUGGUCAGGCACUAACUUCUUAUGUGACUCUGAGCAAUGCAUUCAUCUCUGUACCUGUUUCCUCAUCCAUAAAUUGGGAGUUGAACAAGGUGAGCCCUAAGUUUCGUUCCAACUUCAAUAUUCUAUAAUUCUUGCAACUUAUAUGGCCUCAGUUUUCUUAUCUUUAUAAUGGGCAUAAGAGUACCUACCUCACAGAAUUUUUGAGAGGAUAAAAUGAAUUAAGACAGGUAGAAAAUUCUUAGAACAGUGCCUGCCACAUUGGAAGUGCUUAAUAUGUAUUAGCUGUGAUGAUGCUGCUAAUGAUGAAGAUGAUAAUGACCCUAUUUGCAGAUAG
rnacentral:lncRNA from 10 species